rnacentral:tmRNA from 1 species
GGGGGCGAUCUGGUAUCGACCGGGUAUCGGAAGUGUGAGGUGGCGUGUCGUGGUUGGUCGGUUGGCCACGUAAAAAGCCGUCCAAAAUUUAACUGCUGAACCGCAGUACUCCCUCGCGGCGUAAGACCCGCGAGCCGUUCCGGCCCCUUCGCCUGAAAGUGGUCGGUUCGGACGCAAGUCAGGCUCGCACGAACUCGAGGGCCGGGGCAACCCGGUCCGCCUCGGCGGCCGUUCGUGCUAAGAGAAUCUGGCCGAUAGUUGUCCCGGAGUCCUGCCCACUGGAACCCGGUAUAGCAAACGCGGCGUAGCCCUCGGGCGUGCGCCGAAAGUAAGUGGGAUACACACGUAGAUGCCGUCACGGAAGUGCUUCGGGACCGGGGUUCGAUUCCCCGCGCCUCCACUG